UUGCUACUGGAGUUCCACAAGGAAGAGAAACUGUGGCCAGAGAAGGGAGACAUCUCUGCUUUCAACUGCAAAGCCCUUCAGGAACAGCAAUAUCGACCCUGUGCUACAUCAGCAGAAGCAACCAGCUCGCUGUGGGUUCUUCCGAUGGCUGCCUGUCACUGUGGGAUGUGAAAACUCUGAAGCAGGAGCACUGCUCUCAGCUUGAAGGAGGAAGGGUGUCUGUCUACGCUGUUACUUUUCAAGAGCCUGAGAAGGAUCCUCACAACUAUUGCUACUUGUGGGCUGUUCAGUCUACACAAGAAAGUGAAGGCGAUGCUGUGAGUUUACACCUGCUGCGGUUAGAAUUCGGUGACAGGAGACGCUUGCCAUCAGGACAAGUCAUGUAUGAGGUAAGAUGCGCAUGUCCGUGAAAGGACGGAAACAGUCCUUUUCUCUAAGGGAGUAUCGGUGAAGUCGGCAGGGGUAAUAUUUGCCAUGAAAAUUCAGAGAUGACUUUAAAAGAAAAGAAUCUUUUGCUGAGUCUUCUUGGGCAUGGCCUUUGCCCAUACUUUUUGAAAACCAGUCGUACAAUUUCAUACCGCAGUGCCGUGUGUUCCAACUAGAGUCGUCUGCAAAGAGCCCGUAUAAAUUCAGUUCCUGAAGAGGCAGCAGCUUCUACAAAUAAAUGAUUCUUCAUUUAAACACCAA